CAGUCGCCGCGGUAAUACGAAGGGUGCAAGCGUUAAUCGGAAUUACUGGGCGUAAAGCGUGCGUAGGCGGUUUGUUAAGUCUGUUGUGAAACCCCCGGGCUCAACCUGGGAAUGGCAAUGGAUACUGGCAAGCUAGAGUGUGUCAGAGGAUGGUGGAAUUCCCGGUGUAGCGGUGAAAUGCGUAGAGAUCGGGAGGAACAUCAGUGGCGAUGGCGGCCAUCUGGGACAACACUGACGCUGAGGCACGAAAGCGUGGGGAGCAAACAGGAUUAGAUACCCCUGUAGUCCCUGUCUCUUAUAC
rnacentral:rRNA from 1 species